GUGAUCGGAGCCUGGCCGCGGCGUGAUCGGGCAGGGCGGGACGCGGCACGUGUUUUGGUCGGAGCGAGGGGCGGGGCCUGAGGCCCUGGAAAACAGCAUUCCUUCUGCGUGGAACAUGCCAACCCUCGUCUGCUUUGACUUUGCAAAACUGCAUGAGACCGCCGGGCGCGGUGGCUCACGCCUGUAAUCCCAGCACUUCAAGAGGCCGAGGCAGACAGAUCACCUGAGGUCAGGAGUUUGAGGCCAGCCUGGCCAGCAUGGUGAAACCCCGUCUCUACUAAAAAUACAAAAAAUCAGCCAGUAAUCCUAGCUACUCGGGAGGCUGAGGCAGGAGAAUCGCUUGAACCCAGGAAGCAGAGGUUGCAGUGAGCCGAGGUCAUGCCAUUGCACUCCAGCCUGGGCUACAAGAGUGAAACUCCGUCUCAAAAAAGAAAAAAAAAAAGAAAAAAAGACUGCAUAUGACUCCCCAGUGAAGCCCUCCCUGAUUGGCCUCUGCAGAAGGCAGCAUGCCCGGGCUUUGGAGUCAGACCUGCAUACAAAUCCUUGUUUUGCCGGUGUGACCUUGCCAAGUCUUCUUUCCUGCAGGACAGAAGGCGGCAGCAGCUCUCCCUGAACUGGCACUCUGGCUUCUCUUGCCCCAGGGUCUGUUUCUGCUCCUUGGACAGCAGGCGCAUGUGGGAACUGUGCCCUCUUCAGCCAUGAGCCCCUGUUCUGCGCACAUCUAGCCCAUCUUCCAGAUGGACAGACAGUCUGUGGUCGUCGCCAAACCCCUGAAUCUGGCCCUGCCCGCAGUCAGAGGGAUGGCAAUUUGUAAGCUACAGACUAUUGCGAAUCAUUCACUUGGAGACUGAACUAAGACUACUGGCACCAGGCUCCGUAGACCCUCGGGAAGAGCAUGGUCUGGCAGGCAGACUGGAUGUGGCCACAGAUAACAUCCCCUAAGGGGAGAGCGUGAGCCUGCAGGCCAGAAUGCCACCACUUUCUCCUGUGUCGUUCCAGAGAGAGCCUGUGGCUAUGCACGCUUGCUGCUACAGAGGGUAGUGCUGUAUACCUCCUGGGCUCACUUACUGACUUUUCAGUCUAAGGGCUUAUUGCAAUUGGUACAUAACGAUCAUACUUUGUAAUGGUUAAGUAAUAUUCCAUCAUAUGGAUGUGUUGUUUAUUUAACAUUCUGGUUGAAUAACCAAGACUUUUAGGUUUCCAGUUUUCCAGGAACAUCAUGCCCCUCCAUCAUUUGCCCACCUGGAAGGAUAACUACAGGAUAAGCAGCUCUUAGAACUGGAAUUGCUGAGUUAACUGCUCUGUGCAUUUCCUUGCUUUUUCUUGCUUUUCUUUUCUUUCUUUUAUUAUUUUUUUGGGUAAAUUUUUAUUGAACUAUAGCAUAGCGUAGAUACAGGAAAGUGUAAAAACUUAAAUGUACAAUUCAAUGAAUUUUCGCUAGGCAAACACUGUGUCACCAGCACCCAGAUUUAGAAACAGAAUAUUACCAGAAUCCCAAAAGCCCCAUGAGCUGCCGUCCAGUCACUACUUACCGUUUCCCUGAUCCCCUGCAUAGGAUAAUCCUUAUCAUGGCUUCUGACACUUUCGGUUGGUUUUGGAUGUACUGACACUUUUUGUGUGUGUGUGACACUUUUAUAAUACAAAGAAAAUCAUACAGUAUGUUCAGUUUGGGGUCUGGCUUCUUUCACUCAGUGUGUUGUUGUGGGCAGUUGGAGUUUGUUUAUUCUCAUUCUUCUGUUCUCUUUCUCUUUGGUUGAGUUUACUGGGCUGGAAGCAGUACAAGGACCAGAAUAUGCUGUGAGCUGACCAGCCACUGGGCUGGCUGGCUGGUUGACAAAUGAUCUAACAAAUGGUUGACAAAAUGGAUGGAUGAAUGAAUCACAGACCCACUAAUCCACUGACCUGUUCAAUGCCUGACUGGAAAUUGAGUGUCCAUUCCUCCCAACACCCCAGGGCCCCUGUCUCCCUUUGCUAGGGGCACUCAUGAUGGUGAGCAGAGAGGUCUGUAGGUGUAGCUGAGGCACAGAUCAUCCAGGUCAACCUGCGUAUUUUAGAUGGGGAAACUCAGGCCUAGCAACUUCACACAAAGCCACUUUGCUCAGGGGAAAAAUCAUCAUGACGCUGUGUCUGAUGUGGUUGAGGUACGAAGGAGGACCAGGUCAGAAGACGUUUAUUAAAUACCAAAAGUAGGCCAAGUGUCAUGCUAGGGGCUAGCUCUUCAUGCCUUUUGAUUCCCUGAUUUCAGCCCCAUUUAUAGAUGAAGUCACUGAGGGACGAGAGGUGAAGCCACUUGCCCGUCAUUGUCGGCCAGUGAGUGGAGGGCCCGGGAUCCAUCCCUCCAGCUCGGGUCCAGUGCUGCUUUGUCCCAGCUGCCUGCCCCUGGAAAAGAGGCUGCUAAGAGCACGUGCUGAGUCCUUGUAAGCUGGCCCAGAGUCGGGGGCUGUGGGCAGCUCCCACCAGGCACAAAAGGGGGUGCUCAGUCCCAUCACUCCAGGGAGGGUGAGGAGGCCAGUGCAGUUUGUUCCUGCUGUGGCUGCCAUACCCCUCCCCACACUGGACACACCUCCUGCCACGUGGUUCUGGCUGCCUCAGUGGCUGCACUCGGCCUUCUUUCUGUGUCUCCAGGCUGCGCUACAACCUCACUGUGUGAUACGUCUUCAAACCUCCCAAGAGGGAGAACCAGGUUGGCUUAGGCUUUUAGGCUCAGAGUAGGGGGGCCACAUGGCCCAAUCUGCAACUUUUGCCAAAGGAAAGCCCCAGAAUGGGGCUAUGGGUGUAGUGGGCCCUGAAAGCUUCUUUGAGGACAUGGGCACUUGGCAGGGGCCUUGCAGAGGCUGGGCUAGUACAGUCUAUGUUGGGGAAUGGGACCCCUUGGUGCUCAGGGCUGUGGGACCGUGGAGGAACAGGAGCCACCCUCGGCCCUUCCCAUCCCUACUGUUCAGCAGGAAACUGACUCACAAACAAUGGUACAUCCUAUAUACCAAGAGCCGUGCUGGCACAGGCGUCGGGGGAAGAGGUGGGACCCGAUUACUCGUGUCUGAGGAACUGGUGGGAGGGCUGGUCUGGGACAGUGCCCAAAGAAGACAUCAUUUGAGCUGGGUGUUAAGGACAGCUAGGAGGUAGCCACCCAGGAAACAGAGGUGCCCUUUUGGUACCAGCUUCAUACCUCGUCCGCCUUUGCAUUCUCCAGCUCUUGGCACAAGCCCCUCCUAUGCGGUGGGUGCCCAGUGAAUUGAAAUAAGCCUAGGAAGACGCUUAGGCCUUUGUCCAGGCCAGUGGUUCUCCAGCAUGAGCCCAGAAGGCGCGUUAAAACACGGAUUGCCGGGCCUACCCACUGGCUGCUGACUGAGCAGGUCUUCCUGGGGUCUGUGAAUCUGCAUGUCUUUUUUUUUUUUUUUUUGAGACGGAGUCUUGCUCUGUUACCCAAGCUGGAAUGCAAUGGCAUCAUCUCAGUUCACUGCAACCUCCACUGCCUGGACUCAAGCAAUUUUCUCGCCUCAGCCUCCCGAGUAGCUGAGAUUACAAAUGCCCACCACCAUGCCCGGCUAAUUUUUGUAUUUUUAGUAGAGACAGGAGUUCGCCGUGUUGGCCAGGCUGGUCUCGAACUCCUGACCUCAGGUGAUCUGCUGGCCUCGGCUUCCCUAAGUGCUGAGAUUACAGGCGUGAGCCACUGCUCCUGGCCAAAUAUGCAUGUCUAAUAAGUUCCCAGAUGUUGUUGACACCACUGGUCCAGGAAUCGCGGCAGUGAGAACCACUGAUUUAGUCCAAUCUCUGCAUCUUACAGAAAGGGAAAUGGAGACACAGAGAACAGAAGCAGCCUGUCCUAGUUACUCAAAGUGUGGGCAGAGGAAUGACUGGAUGCCCUGCCUCCAGACUCACGCUGAGUCCCACCCCGAACCACACUGCAGUGCCACCCUGCCACCUCUUGGACAGAGUGCCCCAGGAGCAGCCCCAGAAGAAAGCCUCAGGAGGCCAGCAUGUCUCUGGGCAACAGAACAAACCGCCGACUGGCCUGGGAGGGCAGGCUUCCAAGGGUCCUCGUGGCUACCCAGCCCAUCUGCUCAGCCAACUGCUUGCAUCUGGAACUCCAGUUUAAUCAUGAAAAAAACAUCUGACAAACCCAAAUGGAGGAACACCCACAAAAUGCCUCGUCACUGCUUUUCAAAAGGGCCAAGGUCAUGAAAACCGAGAAAGAACUGAGAAACCAUCUCACAUCGGAGGAGGCACGAUGGCUAAAUGCACCCCGGUCGCCCUGGACUGGAUCCGGAAAUAGUAAAAGUGCAUUAGUGGAAAACUGGUGAAAUCCACCGAAAGUCUGCAGUUGGUGAUAGUAUUGAAUCAAUGUUAAUCUCAUAGUUUUGACAAAUGCACCACGGUUACGUACGCGAGACGUUAACAUUAGGGGGAACUGCGUGGAGGGUACGUGGUACUGUGUACUAUUUUUGCAAUUUUUGUUUGUUUGUUUUUGAGAUGGAGUUUUGCUUUUGUUGCCCAGGCUGGAGUGCAAUGGCGCAAUCUUGGCUCACCACAAUCUCCGCCUCCCGGGUUCAAGCGAUUCUCCUGCCUCAGCCUCCCGAGUAGCUGGGAUUACAGGCAUGUGCCACCAUGCCCAGCUAAUUUUGUAUUUUUAGUAGAGACGGGGUUUCACCCUGUUGGUCAGGCUGGUCUUGAACUUCCAACCUCAGGUGAUCCGCCCACCUCAGCCUCCCAAAGUGCUGGGAUUACAGGCAUGAGCCGCCGAGUCUGGCCUGUUUGUUUUUUGAGACAGUCUCACUCUGUCACCCAGACUAGAGUGCAAUGGUGCAAUCUCAGCUCACUGCAGCCUCCACCUCCUGGGUUCAAGCGAUUCUCCUUGAGAAUCAGUGCCACCCGACUGGAACACAUCACCUGGCAGCCCAUUCUAGUACAGAGCAACAGCCCCCAUGUCCAGGAAGUCUCUCUUUACUUUUGCCAAAGUUGCCUGUGUUAUCUGCCCCAAGCCAUGCCCCAGAAGUCCUCAAGCUAGGGCUCAGGCCCGCCUUGCUAUCUCCCUUUCAGCACCUAGAUCAGCUCAUUGAGCACGUGGCACCUGCCAGGGAGUCACGCUGAAGCCCAUGCCCCCACAUCAAGGGUCUGUGAGAUGGCAGCCCCAGAGGCUGGCCCAGGGUUCGGGGAGAGGGCCUCUAAGCCCCUCUUCCUCAGGAAGUGCCCCUCACCUUGUCCUGCCCACAGGCAGCAGCAGUGUCGGCCCUGAUGGGCUCUGGCAUUGGGAAGGGGCAGCGGGAAACAGCUCCUCUGUGCAGCCUCCCCAGGGGCUACCCCACAGCCCCACUCCCCGCCUGUGUGCUGCACGCUGGUCACCUUGUUUGCUCUGGGAGCUCCUUUACCAGGGGCUUCCUGAGGCCUCCGGCCCUACUGGUACCUGGAGGCCCCAGCCUCUUGGCUCAGGAGGAGUCCUGGGCUGGGCGUGGUGACUUAACGCUUGUAAUCCCAGCACUUUGGGAGGCCAAGGCUGAAGGAUCAAUUGAGCCCAGGAGUUCAAGAGUAGUCUGGACAAUAUAACAAGACCCUGUCUCUACAAAAAAUUUAAAAAUCAUACAAUUUUUUAAAAAAGUAAAAAGGAGGAGGCCUGAGGGGCUACAGUGGCUGCAGGGUAGCAUGACCACUGGGGCUGCGGAAGCAUUUGCCCUGCGGGAGGAAGCGCUUUCGAGGGGGAAGGUGGCGUGUCUCUGACCCGGCAGCGAACAUGGGGCACCAGAGGGCAGCUUGACCCUGCUCCCAGGUGGAAUCUCUGAACCCUAGUUUCAUCUGCUCUCAGAGCCUGGCCUCCCCUGUCUAAGGCUGCCUGGGUUAGGAGCCUGGCACACACUGGGCUGCUAUACCAGUCUUUUACACACACAUUUACCAGGCACUUUCUCUUUUGCCAUCCCCUCAUGAUCACCCGGCAGGGAUCAUUAUCUGUAGGUGAGUGCAGGCUUAAGAGAGGCUGAGCGGCUUGGCCAGUCCCACAGGCAAUGGUGGCUGAGGCCUCCCCAGGACCCAGGUAUUCUGAGAGAGCCUCACACCGUGGGGCUGGAGGCCAGCAUCUGUCCCAGCCAUGCUAUCCACGCGCAUGCGGGGGGACGGGAAGAGCUCUGGGGCUGCACACAUCUGGGCUGCCAGCGUGUCUUCACCACUCUCUGGCUCUGCACCCCAGGAUUUUGGGGUCAGCACAUGGCGUAGUGGGUAGAGGGGUGCAUCCUGAAGGGUGGACCUCUAAUGCACCUGGCCAGACACCAAAAGGCAGCCGGGGGUGAGUCUCUGAGGAGUGGGCAGCGGGACCAGCACAGUGUGGAGAGGGCAGAGAGAGUGGGGAGGGCGGUGUGGGGCCAAGGGCAGGAGGUUCUGGGCGCAUGUCAGGCUGCUCCUGUCUCACCGAGUAUAAACAGCUCCUUAAAAAUGAACUCCAAAACCCAGCUCACUGGGCCAUUCAUGGCAGGCUAACCUUCGGGGGGUGCCCAGCAUGUCCCAGAGGGGCCUAGGAUGGGAGAGCCCUGUGGCCAGUCUGCAGCCGGUGCCUGCACAAACCUAGGCCUUGUGCUCCCUCUGGCACCUGGGUGAGGCCCCCUCGGGUGGAACACCUGCUAACUGCUCAUUAAAAUACAAGAGUGGGGGAGCUGGGCUUGGUGGCUCACGGCUGUAAUCCCAGCACUUUGGGA
rnacentral:lncRNA from 1 species